rnacentral:rRNA from 1 species
GUUAAAAGUGCCUGAAAUUGCUGAAAGGGAA